rnacentral:rRNA from 1 species
UGAAUACGAGACGCUACGGCGUCGAAGCAGUCUAUGUCAUACUUCCAAGAAAAGCUUGCACUGUCAUAAACAAAUAAUGCCUGUACCAUAACCGACACAGGUGGGUAGGUAGAGUAUACUAAGGGGCGCGAGAUAACUCUCUCUAAGGAACUCGGCAAAAUGACUCCGUAACUUCUGGAGAAGGAGUGCCUUAUUUAUAAGGUUGCAAUAACAAGAUCCAAGCAACUGUUUAUCAAAAACACAGGUCUCCGCUAAGUCGUAAGACGAUGUAUGGGGGCUGACGCCUGCCCAGUGCCAGAAGGUUAAAGAAGUUGGUUAGUGUAUGCGAAGCUGAUGACUGAAGCCCUGGUGAACGGCGGCCGUAACAAUAACGGUCCUAAGGUAGCGAAAUUCCUUGUCGGGUAAGUUCCGACCCGCACGAAAGGCGUAAUGAUUUGGAUACUGUCUCGGAGAGAGGCUCGGUGAAAUAGACUUGUCUGUGAAGAUGCGGACUACCUGCACCAGGACAGAAAGACCCUAUGAAGCUUUACUGUAACUUGAAAUUGGAAUUGGACUUUGCUUGCGCAGUAUAGGUGGGAAGCGUUGAAGAUAUUCUUGCGGGAGUAUUGGAGCUAUCAGUGAGAUACCACUCUUGUAAUGUUAGAUUUCUAACUUUGAACCAUAAUCUGGUCAAAGAACAGUUUCAGGUGGGCAGUUUGACUGGGGCGGUCGCCUCCCAAAUGGUAACGGAGGCGUACAAAGGUUUCCUCUGAACGGAUAGAAAUCGUAUCUAGAGUGUAAAGGCAUAAGGAAGCUUGACUGUGAGACCUACAAGUCGAGCAGGGACGAAAGUCGGUCUUAGUGAUCUGACGGUACUGAGUGGAAAGGCCGUCACUCAACGGAUAAAAGUUACUCUAGGAUAACAGGCUGAUCUCCCCCAAGAGUUCACAUCGACGGGGAGGUUUGGCACCUCGAUGUCGGCUCAUCGCAUCCUGGGGCGGUAGUACGUCCCAAGGGUUGGGCUGUUCGCCCAUGAAAGCGGUACGCGAGCUGGGUUCAGAACGUCGUGAGACAGUUCGGUCCAUAUCCGGUGUAGGCGUUAGAAUAUUGAGAGGAGCCUUCUUUAGUACGAGAGGACCGAGAAGGACACACCGCUGGUGUACCAGUUAUCGUGCCAACGGUAAACGCUGGGUAGCUAUGUGUGGAGUGGAUAACCGCUGAAAGCAUCUAAGUGGGAAGCCCACCUCAAGAUGAGUAUUCUCAC